rnacentral:rRNA from 1 species
UCAGUUCGGAUUACAGGCUGCAACUCGCCUGCAUGAAGCUGGAAUUGCUAGUAAUCGCGGAUCAGCAAGCCGCGGUGAAUACGUUCCCGGGCCUUGUACACACCGCCCGUCACACCAUGAGAGUCGGGAACACCCGAAGUCCGUAGUCUAACCGCAAGGGGGGCGCGGCCGAAGGUGGGUCCGGUAAUUGGGGUGAAGUCGUAACAAGGUAGC